rnacentral:tRNA from 1 species
GGAGUAUUCGUAUAGUGGCUAAUAUUCUAGACUUCCAAUCUAGCGCGGUGGGUUCAAUUCCCACAUACUCCUCCA